rnacentral:lncRNA from 1 species
GUGUAGCUGGCUUGCUGAAUUCUUCUCCUUUGCCUAAAGAGAGAGGCUGGACCAUUCCUAAUAAGGUAAGCUCAGGCCUGGAAAAUAUCGGCUCAUCACCUAGCUUCUUCAAGCCAAAAUGCUUUUGACCUACCUGCACACUGCUCUUUUGCUAACAACUCUCUUCCUAUCUCUCUGGGUUUCCCUAUAAAGAAGAUAGAAGGGUCUGUUUCUCCUUAAGGUUUGUAGGAACUCUAUCCCAAAAAUAAAUCCCUCCUUAACUGCAUAGCGGAACGGUUCACUGACAGCUCCCUGUCUCACUGUGGGCUGACCUUCUCCUGGCUGACUCUGCCAAGACCCUCAUAUUUUAAGGAUGAUGUCUUACUUCCCAGUUUCCACCCCACAGCCCACCUGCCUCUUCCAUUCCUCCCUCUACUCAAGCAGGAGAUCGAUGAUCUAAAUCCCUAUUUGCAGAUGGUGAGAAUGAAAGUAAUAUAAGAUAUAAAGUAAUAAGGCAUAAAGAUGGGACUACUUUUAGUAUGAAUCAUUUGAAAUUCCUUUCUCAUUGGUCAAAAAGCAGUUAAAUAUUGGCAAUUUCAGAUGAUUCACCUAACGAUUCUUUUUGCCCAAGGAGGCAAUGUGAGGUGCACAUCAGUUGCCUAAGUCAGCUAGACUCAUUGGAUGCCCUUGACUUCAACUACUGCACAUGCCUGGAUAAUUCUCAAAUAUGCAUCUCCAAUUCAGCUUCUCUUCUGACCUAUCAGACAUCCUCAUUUGGAUGUGACAAAUGUACCCCAAAUCUGUGAUGUCCAAAAUGGCAUCAUUGUUCCCCACUUCAGACCUGCUCAUUCUAUAUCCCUGUGGCAAGUGCCUCCAUUAUCCAAAGUCACCAAAUUCUACCCAAGGGAAUAUUCGUAGCUGUUCUCUCUUAAAUCCUCCGUCUCAGUUGAUAGACACAUAAGUUAAUAAUAUCUCCUUCAUCGUGUUUAAUCUCCUUUCUACCUCCCCACUGCUCUCUUCUAAAUUCUCAUAAUUUCUUACUGGCAUUCUAGUAACAACCUCCUAAUUAUUUUCUCUGCCUCCAGUUUUCUCACAUCUCCAAAGCCUGUGGAAUCCUUCAAUCAGGGACAUUUUUCUGAAACACAAAUUUGAUGAUGCUCUUCUUCUUCCAUGUCUCCUAUUGCCUUUUGGUAAAGGCCUCAUUCCUAAACACCCACAAGAAUCUUUUAUCUCAUGGUUAUCAAAGGAGGUUGGGAUCUGGCAGUAUUAUCUCUCUCUGUCUCUUUUUUAUUUUCAGACAGGGUCUCACUCUGUUGCCCAGGCUGGAGUGCAGUGGCACAAUCACAGCUCACUGCAGCCUCCACCUCCUGGGCCCAAGCUAUUCUCCUUCCUCAGCCUCCCAAGUAGUUGGAACAGCUACCUGUGUGACCUUGGGCAAGUCACUUGGCAUCUCUGUACCCCCAUUUAUACAAAGGAGAUGGACCUAAACAGCUCUGAGCAGCCAACGGAGGGAAGAAGAGAUUCCUAGAAGGCAAGAAACAAAAUGGCCAGGUAACCCAUCUGAAUAGUAUCCGGGCAUUAGCACAGGCUACCAGCCAAUCAGAAGCAAGGAAGUGAAGAGGAAAGGAGGACUGAGGGAUUGUUUUGGCUGCUGGUCACUCAGAGACUAAGAGAGAGAGCCUUCAGACUCCCUCAUUCCCUUGUGGGAUUUAUGAGGAAACUAAGACCCAUAAAUAUCAAAAAUGUGACCCAAGGCCUUGGAUAUAGUGAUUGUCAGAGUUGCCCUCAACCUGGGACCUCUGGGAUCAAGAGAAGUGAGCCUUGGACUAACUACAUGUUCACUCUCGCAUCGGAAAUUGGGUGUAAUUUGGCUUAAAUAUGGGGCUUGGGGAUUGUUAUCAAUUUGUUAUGGCACAAAUUGUCCUUUUUCAAUUUGCCUUUUCUCUUCCCUUCUUCCCUCCAAAAUAUCCCCCUAUUCUUUCUCCCUCUGCACUUCCAAUUCAGAGGAACUCAGGUUUUUACUUCCUUAGGAGGACGUGCUAGCAUCACCGGUGUUGUGGGCCUUGAGCCGAGGGCCUCAGGACUGUGAUGAGGCUCAGGGCCACAGUAAGAGCAGGGUUUCCUGAACACAACACUGCACUUAACCACACCUGGGUGAAAAUUUCAUUUUCUUCACACAAAGACUGGGCUCUAAAGUGUCCAGUGUUCUAUGAGUCUCGAUAAGGUGAAAUAAUUCUGUUAUUGUUGACUCAUAGAUUUUCUGCUUGCAUGUAUACCUAAAGACUUUUUGCAAUUCUUGCCAGGGUAUAUAUUUUUUAAGAUACAAAACUGUCUUACACCCCACAGCAAGCUUUAAUCCUGUGAGGACAAUCUGUUUCUCCUGGCAACACUAAGGCUACUAGAUGAACAGGGGUCAGCCGGGUAGUUUGAAGAGAAGCCUUGGUAAUCUGUUAGACAAAGCUGAGAAUUCUCUAAAGAAUGUCUAGCAAAGAUACUUCAGUUUGAAGUGAAUAGAAAGGGUUUUGUUCACAGGCCCUGCCUUGCUGCUGGAUUCAAAGAAUGUGCAGCACCAGAAAAGGACAUCAAUGUCCUUCUUGAAAAUGAAACACACACGCGCACACACACACACACACACACACGUGUCUUCUUUUCUGCCUGCAUUGAGCAUUGCAUAACUGUGGAAAAGUUCAUCACGCCUGAAAAUAUGUAUCUUUCCUUUGAUCCAAAGCAAGUGCUAUAUUGGAAUAAAGAUGCCAUAUCUUCCGCCUUUAGUAAAAUGAAUUGUCAAGGAUUUUGCUUCAGAAAGAUCAAGAAAAGACCAAACGAUUCUGCAGGGUGAGGCCUCAGAGUUCAGGCUGUUGAUUAGGAGUUAGGGGCCCUGUAAGUCUUAUUGGUUCUCAGCUUUCUCACUAGCUCAUGUUUGUGACCUUAGGCAAGGCACUUAAGCUCUUUGUACCUUCAUUCCUCCAUUUGAAAAUUAGAGAUAAUACUUGCCGCCUACUUAAACUCAAAGGGAUAUGUGAGGAUUAGCCAAUUAAAGUUUGCCAAAUGCUUGGGAAUCAAUGGAGGGAAAAAUCUGUAUGAAUAUAAGGUAUCAUUGUCAGUCCCGCCUGACUCCCUCUUCACUCUCUUACCCCUCCUGUUUCCACCCUCUCUUUUAAAGGAUUGCCUUCCUGGGAAACUCAUGAGCAUUAUGCAUGGUUUUACUUAUGGUUGCUAUUGUGGAAAGUGGCCAUCUCCUAUUAUUAAGUGAUUUGUUUGAAGUUGGUCCUUUCUAUACCAUCACGGGGGAGGUUUCCAAAUCAAAGCAUCCUAGACUGAUUGUCAGUGAGGCACAGCUGGCAAGGUUUCUUUUGGGUUUACCUUUAGCAUCCUGUAGAGAGGAGAAAACAACCAUUUUAAUGUAAAAUAGUAAGCAUAAUUUGGAAAUAUUUGCCCAUUAGGAAUACAAAGCUAGUGAGGUACAAAAAUAAAGUCAAUUUAGAGCCCUUGUUACAAUCCUUGAAGAAAUUCCCCUUUUAACCAAAACAAUAAUAGUGCUUCCUAUUUCAUAAACGUUGCUCCUCUGGCUGUUACAGCCACGUGAAAAAUGAGUGUAACAUAACUAUGGCAUAUUAUCUGUUUGUUUCACAAUUGGAAAAUUGAGAUGCAGAGAGAUUAAGUGACUUGCUCACCACAACUUAGCUAACGAACGGAACGGCAA